rnacentral:rRNA from 1 species
UACAGGGGGGGCAAGCGUUGUUCGGAAUUACUGGGCGUAAAGGGCUCGUAGGCGGCCAACUAAGUCAGACGUGAAAUCCCCAGGCUUAACCUGGGAACUGCGUCUGAUACUGGAUGGCUUGAAUUCGGGAGAGGGAUGCAGAAUUCCAGGUGUAGCGGUGAAAUGCGUAGAUAUCUGGAGGAAUACCGGUGGCGAAGGCGGCAUCCUGGACCGACAUUGACGCUGAGGAGCGAAAGCUAGGGGAGCAAACGGG